CUCUUUCCUUCUUGUUUGUUUCUCCCAAAUAGAACCAAGAAUGAUGAUCGAUCAGCUCAAUCCCAUGGUGCACACUCAAGGCGCUCACCGUCCUGCUGACUGCUGCCUGUUCUAUACCUCAC